GACGCUGCAACAUUUUAUGUAAUUCCAAAUUAUGCAUUUUGCAAAAUUUAAAAAAAAAAGUGUUCAAGUAAAGUAAUAUAAGCAGUAAAAAAAAGCACAUUUACACUUACAUGAUUAAUUUGUCUUCCAACCCUCAAUAGUAAAGCACAAAAAACUACCUUAGCCUCACAUCAUAAUCAAUCAUUACAACCUGUGAAUGGUUCUGCUCACUAACAGAGUAAUAUGUGAUUGAAGAAAUGUUUUUAUAUAUUGUUUUUUUUUUCCCCUCCAAAAGAGAGAUACCGGCACACCGUUCUGCCUUUUGCGUCAAAUUAAGUAAUGCUAAUGAUUUUAUUGUAAAAGUUCAUCAUGUAUUAGUCAAAAUGAGAGUAUAUUGGUGAAAUAAGUAUAAAGAGAUAUUUUACCCAUAAUUGUUGAAAAAUACAAUAUUUUUACGAAUAAAGACUGUUUUAAAGUAAAAACAAUAAGACAGAAAUCUCAUGUUUUAAAAAUGAAACCAUAAAAUCUUGUCCCUUAUGGAGGUUAUGUUCAGGGUGGUCACAGACUGGGAAAACCUGGAAAAGCCUGGGAAUUAAAAACAGGUUGUGGAAAACCUGGAAAAGUCAGGGAAUUUUUGGUUCUGUCAGGGAAAUUUUUGAGAAAGUUUGUUUCUGCAUCCUAAUGGUUUCUUCAAUUGCGACUUUUGUUGUAGACACAUGUAUUUAAAUAUAGCAUUUUCAAAAUUAUUUCUGCAAGUUACCAUAUUAGCCCAAAUCUGCGCAUACGUUUUGAAAAUAGCAUGGUGCGCAGGUAUUCAAAAUUUGGCAAAGCUGCAUAGCACAAGUUUUUCGUGCUCUAUUGUUGGUUAACCUGUGGUUUCAAAAUGGACAACUGACAUCUUGUUCUCUGAUUUGAAUCAGGCAUUUCGCGGGAGGUGUUAAACGUUACUGAAGAAGAAAAUUAAGGAGAGGCUGGCGCCGGGAACAAUACGGCACCUUCCUCCCGGAACCACGUCUCGCAGCUGGAGACGAUGCGGCCCAUGGUGACGACGAGCUGCACCAGCAUGGCGUGGUCGUCCCUCGUGGCGGGAUCCGCGAGGAAGCUCUGCAGCUGCAUGUACGUCUUGUCCUGCACCUGCCGACACGCCAUCCAGCCUCGUCAGUCCCCCACAGACAUCCUCACAUGUCGGAAAGAAGUACCCGGUGAGGUAGAAAAACCAUCACGGGACGGUUUGGAAAACGUUGCCCGAGGGUCAGCACUGCCGGGCCCUCACGCCGUCGGAGUCUUCAAAGGCUAAAUGGGAAAGGAUUGCUUACCCGUCUUACAGCCAAGAUGCCCACGAUGUAGACAGGAAUUAUUGUAAGCGACGGCCAGCUGUUCCGACUUUCAGACAAAGCCUUCUCCAGCUCUUGCAACCGAUGAACAAAAACUGGCUUCAACUGCGGAAACACAAUAUCAAACCAUUACUACUGACAAGAUUUUAUGGUUUUAUUUUCAAGUCAAUUUUUUUUUAAAAAAAAGGAGAUUUUAGCAUUAUUAUUUAUAUUAAUUCUGUUUA